GAAUCCCGUGAACCAUCGAGUCUUUUGAACGCAAGUUGCGCCCGAGGCCAUCAGGCUAAGGGCACGCCUGCCUGGGCGUUGCGUGCUGCAUCUCUCUCCCAUUGCUAAGGCUGAACAGGCAUACUGUUCGGCCGGCGCGGAUGAGUGUUUGGCCCCUUGUUCUUCGGUGC
rnacentral:rRNA from 1 species